AUGGUCUCCAUUCUAUUCUUCCUGGCAACUCUUGUUGCUUCUGCCUUUGCCGAUGGUUAUACCUGUGCAAACAUUAUGAGAAACCCAACUCAGAAUCUUUCGGAGCCCUACUACUAUCCAGAGACAUGGCGGGAAAACAUGGAACCCACCAAAUAUGCACCGAAUCAAAUUUGCAACUGGCAGAUAAAUGUUCCUGAAGGCUUGUAUGCAACUGUGAUUUUUUACAAGAAAACUGACUCCGAGUCUGGAAUUAAGUGUACCUACCCGAACGGUGAACAAGUAUACAUUGAGGACAAUGAUCAGAAUCCGUACAAAUUCACGUAUCCACGAUUCCAAAUUGACUUACAAGUUGGUGAUAAGCAAGGAGAAUUCUCAUUCAAAGUUGUCUGGUCAGAAUACCCUGACGGAAGGUCGAUGUAUAUUGGAUUAGACGGGGUUCACUCUAUAGCCAGUGUUCCCACAUCUUACUACACUACUGUCACGGCUGUGAAUCAAGUGAUGCUAGUCGGCUUCUCAGUUCCAGAUGUACCAUUGGCUCUUCUCCGUCAAUCAGCUAUUUACGAAGGUGGCUAUACAAAUGGAACAUAUCUUGGAAACCUGGUUAAUGCUAGAUCCGGACAAAUUUAUUCAACCAGCAAUAAGCUCGGGGUGUAUACUUUUGGCUUGGAAAAGUUCAUAAAUCAAACAGUGUUUAUGGUCCUGGAUUCAAGAGCUGCUGGAGAUAUCGUUCAGUACACCGGAACGAAUUGUCCAACGGAUCCUAACAAAUCAUGCGGUAUUUUUCUAAAUUCACAGAAAAACGUGUCUGCGGUGGCCACUAUUUCGAGACAACCUGAUUACUUGACUCUUCCGAAGGGAUUUGCAAAUAGCAUCACACUAAAAAUUUACGGAGAAACUAUGGAAGAAAGCAACCUUUUUGCCACAAUCAACCAAAUGGAACUCGGUGUUCGAUGGACGAUACAUCAUUGUUCGAUCAUUCGAUUUCAAUAGACAAAGCUAUGCCCAAGACACAACUGAAACUUUUGUAACUGAUCCAAAUAACCAGAUGUACUUUAAGUUCAAUGUGAAAUAUUUGGAUACUAAUGGACCAACUACAUUGGAUGUUAACGUCUACAAAAAUGGAGUUGCUGUCUUCACAGCAACAUAUACUGCCACAAAUCCCCCAUUGCCUUUCCCGAACGGUAUCUUGGGAGACAAGAUGGAAGUAAAUUAUCAAACUUAUGGAAACUACACUCAAGGAUUCCAAGUUGAUAUUCUCACUACGAAAAAUGAUUCUCCAACAACAUUCCCAACACUGGCACCGGGAGCAUCCACGACAAUUGGGACUGGAGCCACAAGAGGCACAACACAGAGAUACGAGUCCACGACGAAAAGUGGAAUAAACAAGUUUUCCUUGACUACAUUGGCAAUUGUUGGUUUUGUUAUGCUGGUCUAA
rnacentral:misc_RNA from 1 species